rnacentral:rRNA from 1 species
UACGUAGGGUGCGAGCGUUAAUCGGAAUUACUGGGCGUAAAGGGUGCGCAGGCGGCGUCGCAAGUCAGGCGUGAAAUCCCCGGGCUUAACCUGGGAACUGCGUUUGAAACUACAAGGCUAGAGUGUGGCAGAGGGGGGUGGAAUUCCACGUGUAGCAGUGAAAUGCGUAGUGAUGUGGAGGAACACCGAUGGCGAAGGCAGCCCCCUGGGUUAACACUGACGCUCAGGCACGAAAGCGUGGGGAGCAAACAGG